CCCCUAAUGUCUCUCGCCUCCUCCAAAAAAAUUUCAACUCUAUCUUAGAGCACAAGAGAUUCAAGGCCACACUCGUCUGCACACAAACAUCACGCUAUUAAAAGGUGUGGUCUAAACCUGUCGGGCCUCAAAUUAAAGUUAAUGUAGAUGUUGCUUGCAAUCUUGGGAGAGCAGCCAUUGCUUCGCCCAUGACUAAAUUGGCGGUUUUUUUCUUUAAUAAACUAAAUAUUACUUAAGUGAUAUUUAAAUAUUAAAAUGUCCAUUUAAACUUUUUGUCUUACAACUCAAAUUGUAUUGGGCCAAUCCUAGCUACCGCUUGCUUGGCUUGGCACGUACAUUGAGUGAUGUUACUGCUUAAUGUGUUUGAUUUUUUAUGUAUAGUAUAGUACUAUUAAAAUAAUUCCAUGAUAAAAAUGACUAAUGUUUGUUUAGUUUAACUUUUAUGUAGAGGGCAAGGCACAUUGGGUAAAUAUUAAUUGCUAAUUUACUCUAUAAUUUCAGUUUGCUUAGUUCUAAUUCACUUAUAGGAUCAGUUUGCAACUGUCCAGUAUGAAUCAUUGAAAUUGGACCAGUCCUGGUCAAGAUACAAUGGCAUCUUGCAUAUAAACCAAUUUUCUUAAUCAUAUAAUAUCAAAUUCUACUUCAGAAAUGAGAGAAUUUCUGUGUAUUGCAAUAAAGAAUGAAUUUGUUUGUAUAUAACUAAAUAGAAGAGCGGAGACUACUGUCUCUUCGCGUAUUUCACUCUAAUUAGUUAUUAACAGAAAUAACAUAACUCACUUUAAGUGCAUGCAUAACUUAUUAAUAAAAAAGAAGAAGAAAAGAACAAACUUAUAAAUUCUGAUAAACUUCUUCCUAUCCACCCAUAACCAAUAUCUUAUUAUGAGAUUCCAUAAAUAGUCACACAAGACUGAAUAAGACAGCUUUGAAGGCAAAGGUUGAUUUUUUGUCUAAGCUGUUGUAAUUCCUCCAGAUGGUUAUUUAAAAUCUGUCAGAGAUCUGUGCUCAAAAUAUAAUGUUUUAAUGAUUGCUAAUGAGGUGCAAUCUGGCUUAGCACAAUCAGGAAAAAUGCUGGCUUGUGAUUGGGAAGAAGUGCGCCCAAAUGUAGUGAACCACAGAAGGAGAAAGGAAAGGAGAAAGCAGUAGUCAGCUGCAGAGAGCUUUCACAAGGCUCUAAAAAAGCCAAUGUAAAAUGUGGUGGAACUUGCUUUUAAAACUAAAGCCACCGUGGAACAACAAUUUCAUCUGUAUUAUGGUUUGGAAAAUAAUACUUGGUUGUACUUUAUGCAAUACCUUCUCUGAAAUUUCCUUUUAAAACUAAAGCCCAAAGGUUUUAGUAGAGCUUCUAUCUUUCAAUUCAAUUGGAUUACAAAUUGGGGUUUUCAUAAAUAGAGUUUACAUAAAUUUAGGCUUUGAAAUAACUAUGCUUUUUUCUCCCAGAUUCAUCAUGUAUAUCUAUGGCUGCCUUCAUUAUUUUUUUUCUUUGAUUUUUUAUCCCCAUUUGAUGCAUAAAUUGUCUCUUGAUAUUUCUCAAUUCUAUAGAUCUGCCCAACUGGGACAGGAGUUAAGGCACCAUCUACUUAAGAUUCAGCAGCAAUACCCAAACUACAUACGAGAAGUUCAAGGUAGAGGUUUGUUCAAUGCUGUGGAGCUCAACAGCAAAAAUCUGUGCCCUAUUUCUGCAUAUGAUAUCUGCCUACAGUUAAAGGAGAGAGUUCUUGCUAAGCCCACCCAUGAUACUAUCAUCCGAUUAACUCCCCCCCUCUCAAUAAGUUUGGAUGAGCUCCAAGAAGCCUCAAAGGCACUGAGUGAUGUUCUUGAGCAUGAUCUACCAAAGAUGCAGAAAGCAAAGCCAGAGCAUGUCUCCCCAACUAGUUCUAACAUAUGUGACCGUUGUAUUGAAUAACAUGCACAUUACUUCUUAAGGCAAUCAGUUGCUGAAUUUGAUAUCUUAUACUUUAACAUGGAUUUUCAAAAAAGCUCUCUCCUCUAAUUGUAGCUUUCUUCUUUUAAUCUUCUUUUUAAUAAAAUUAGGAUACUAAUCUCAA